AGGGGAGGAGGCUGAGAGACGCUCGCUGACCCCUUGGCAGGGAAUUGGUAGGGGGAUUUGGGCAGAGAUGAAUUCUAAGGUCUCUGAGAUACUAGGGCAAUAACUACUUAGAAGCGAAGUAAAGUACAUGCUAGAAUAUACGUGGGAUUU